GGGGGAUUAGCUCAGUUGGUAGAGCGUCGCAAUGGCAUUGCGAAGGCCAGGGGUUCGAGUCCCCUAUCCUCCACCA
rnacentral:tRNA from 1 species